AUUGAACGCUGGCGGCAUGCCUUACACAUGCAAGUCGAACGGCAGCACGGGAGCAAUCCUGGUGGCGAGUGGCGAACGGGUGAGUAAUGUAUCGGAACGUGCCCAGUCGUGGGGGAUAACGUAGCGAAAGUUACGCUAAUACCGCAUACGAUCUAUGGAUGAAAGCGGGGGAUCGCAAAGACCUCGCGCGAUUGGAGCGGCCGAUAUCAGAUUAGGUAGUGGUGGGGUAAAGGCUCACCAAGCCGACGAUCUGUAGCUGGUCUUAGAGGACGACCAGCCACACUGGGACUUAGACACGGCCCAGACUCCUACGGGAGGCAGCAGUGGGAAUUUUGGACAAUGGGCGCAAGCCUGAUCCAGCAAUGCCGCGUGCAGGACG
rnacentral:rRNA from 1 species